rnacentral:misc_RNA from 1 species
AUCUAACAGAUAAUCUUUCAUCUUUGGACCCUAUCAUGUGGAAGGAUCUUGUAUCAUUUGAAUCAUCAGCUGAGCCUGCUGCUGAUCAUUACAGAGCAGUAGCUUCUACUACAAUGUGUACGGAGGCUACUUCUCAAAGUGAUGACAUGGAUUUAGUGGUGAAAUCCAUUGAUUUUGAUAGUGAUUUUCAGUUUGAUGAAAGUGAAUUCAACUACUUAAGCUAAGGUAUAGAAAGCUGCAGGUUUUCCCCUGGUGUAUAGAUGUCAACCUUCAAGAAUUACCUUCUUUCCUGUACUAUGUAAUCUAGUUUUGUGGAAUAAUUAUUAAUUAGCAUAAAACUAGAUUACAUAGUACAGGAAAGAA